GAAAUUUUUUUCUCAAGAUAGUUGUUAUGGUUCAAUAUUGUCAAAAAAUUAGAGAUUAUACGCGCCGCAAAAGUAUAUGAGCUUGUAACUAAGUAAUCCAUCAUUUUUACGCAAAACUGUACCCGUGGAGACGAAACCCAUACAAUUGUUUC